GCUGGGCAUGGUGGCGCAUGCCUGUAAUCCCAGCUACUUGGGAGGCUGAGGCAGGAGAAUCGCUUGAACCCGGGAGGUGGAGGUUGCCGUGAGCCGAGAUCACGCCAUUGCACUUUACCCUGGGCAACAAGAGUGAAACUCUGUCUCAA
rnacentral:SRP_RNA from 1 species